GGUGUGCUCUCGCAGCGGCCAGAAGUGUGACCAGCACCCUUCUGCAGAAGAAGAGGUCCCUGAUCAUCUCUCAUGAGGAGAUGCGUCCCCCUGCCUCACUGUGGUGGCCUCAGGGAUGAGGGAUCAAGACCUCCCCCAGCAUGAUGAAUAAACCUGGACUCUCAGCAACGCAGGUGAAAAGGAUCCUCACACACCAUGGCAACCAGGUAACUCUGUACACAAACCAAGAACUAAAGGCCUUUUAGCAGAGACACCACCCUUGGAGUUCCCAGCAUGUCAGCAUCAGCCUAGGGAUCACGUUCUCAUCAAAAGCUGGAAAGAAGGAAAACGCGAACCAGCUUGGGAAGGACCCUAUCUAGUGCUUCUAACUACAGAAACCACUAUCUGCACGGCCAAAAGGGGAUGGACAGACCACACGCGAGUGAAAGGAGUGGCUUCCACAGCCAGAGAAAAAUGAGCCGUCACCCCAGGGCCCACCCCCACCAAAUUACCUCUAAAAAGGGCUUAAUAUUAUUUUCCCUUUUCUUUCCAACAGAAGGUCACCUUGUCAUCUAUGUGACUCAAACUAACCAUCCCUUAACCCUUCAGUUUGACGCUUGUUCAGUCAUCUCAUAUGGAGAUGAACGAACUCAAAGGCAGCUAUCAAAUGUAGAUAAGUAUCUAUGUCCGUACUGUAGUGAGUCAACAAAGUAUAAGCAUGGAGCCUUAAAAAGUCCCUGUGGUGACUGGACAGAUGUUUGGUGGACCACCCAAUAUGGAGGAUGGACAGCCAGGCCCCCUUCUUCAAACAAGUUGCAAGGACUGAAACAGAAACUCCAACUUACGUGGUCCCACCCCAUCAAAUUGUAAGUCACUGCAAUGUAACCCCUUAUCCCCUUGUUGCUAAUUAUAGAUAAUCCCCAAACAAUGGCCCAAGAACCCUCCAUAUUCGAAUGGUAUGGGUUAGGAGCAGAUGUUAUAGGACGGGACCCCAUAAGAAUCUUCUCUCUGAGUCGGUUGAAAACAAUAAAGAAAUCCAGACCCAGAGUCCGGGGAAUAUAUGGGAUCCAACACUUUCCCCAAACAUAUCAUGCCCAGCAUUCUCCUCCCAUCUCCAGAACCACCCAACUAAGGUAACGGCUGUGGAGGUGAAAGAAUUAAGGCAGACUAUAGCUCUAGAGACAGGAUACAAAGAUGCAAAUGCCUGGCUGAAACGGAUUAAAUAUUCCAUCCGCACUCUAAA
ensembl:lncRNA novel transcript, antisense to PIAS2